UGCAAAAAAAAUGUAUGCUCACAGCUUUGGUC
rnacentral:piRNA from 1 species